CAGCAGCCGCGGGAAAACGAAGGGUGCAAGCGUUACUCGGAAUUACUGGGCGUAAAGCGUGCGUAGGUGGUGGUUUAAGUCCGUUGUGAAAGCCCUGGGCUCAACCUGGGAAUUGCAGUGGAUACUGGGUCACUAGAGUGUGGUAGAGGAUAGUGGAAUUUCCGGUGUAGCAGUGAAAUGCGUAGAGAUCGGAAGGAACAUCUGUGGCGAAGGCGACUAUCUGGGCCAACACUGACACUGAGGCACGAAAGCGUGGGGAGCAAACAGGAUUAGAUACCCCCGUAGUCCCUGUCUCUUAUAC
rnacentral:rRNA from 1 species